rnacentral:rRNA from 1 species
CAGUAGCCACGGGAAUACGUAGGUGGCGAGCGUUGUCCGGAAUCAUUGGGCGUAAAGGGAGCGCAGGCGGGCAUGUAAGUCUUUCUUAAAAGUUCGGGGCUCAACCCCGUGAUGGGAAAGAAACUACAUGUCUUGAGUACAGGAGAGGAAAGCGGAAUUCCCAGUGUAGCGGUGAAAUGCGUAGAUAUUGGGAGGAACACCAGUGGCGAAGGCGGCUUUCUGGACUGCAACUGACGCUGAGGCUCGAAAGCCAGGGGAGCGAACGGGAUUAGAUACCCGAGUAGUCCCUGUCUCUUAUACA